rnacentral:siRNA from 1 species
AGAAAGACGUGAGUUCGAGUGUGC